GACGAACCACACAAACGUUAUUCGGAAUUACUGGGCUUAAAGGGUGCGUAGGCGUCGCGGAAAGUAGGGUGUGAAAUCCCUCGGCUCAACCGAGGAAUUGCGCCCUAAACUACCGUGCUCGAGGGAGAUAGAGGUGAGCGGAACUUAGGGUGGAGCGGUGAAAUGCGUUGAUAUCCUAAGGAACACCGGUGGCGAAAGCAGCUCACUGGAUCUCUUCUGACGCUGAGGCACGAAAGCUAGGGUAGCGAACGGG
rnacentral:rRNA from 1 species